ACCUGUGUGGUUCAGUUGGUAGAGCAUCUGACUCUUGAUCUCAGGGUUGUGAGUUCAAGCCCCACAUUGGGUG
rnacentral:tRNA from 1 species